ACUGCAUUGUGAUAUAAGACACCGAUACUUCGUAUAUACGAUAAUUUCCUUCCUUGUACGAUAUAUCAAAGUGGCAGUAGUGGCAGCACUGAUGUAUCACACAAUUCAGAAGCCGUAUCCAUUCGCGGAGCGCCUCUCCAUGUGAACAGGUCGGAGGGCAGGGACCCGGAGCAGGAGUACAUGGAGUGGUCAUCCAGUGUCGGAGUGGCCUGGCUCAACCCUUCCAGGAACUCCUGCAAGCAGAGCAAUGGUUCACCAUCAAGGCUUAUAGAUGGAGGUUAGAGAGUGUUGGCCGAAUAUGUUGACUCAUUCAACAUUCCUUUGAGAAACUGCAACAGCUAACCAGCAUUUCUUACAGCCCUGAGUCCAGAGGCAGGUAAAUGCAACAACUGGAAAAGUAAAUGCGGACGCUAGCAGUUUGUUCGGGAUUAAACUGGGUAAGGCGCACUCACAAGUAAGCUGUUGGCGAGAGGUACUUUCAUCCAAAGAAAAAUCCACUAGUCCACACAUCUCUUCCACAUUACUUCAAGGGAGUAACUACUAAGACUUCUAUCUGCAGUUUGAUCCAAUGGGCUGGUCAACAUCGAUGUCACAUUGCCUGUCUCUGUUUUCUAGGUUUUUAUCCUUCCUACGCAUAAUAGGACUGAUGCCACACUGAUGAUAAGACAACGUUGCCUUGAAAAAUGAGACAUAAAAGAACCUUCUUCAGGAUUUGGUGACCUCACAAGUAUAGCCACCUUGCAUCUACUGAGUGGAGCCUAGAAAUGUAAUAUGAUCAGGAGUCACGGCUGGAGAGUUCGAUUGAAGGUUGACAAGUCCAAUCAGAAGGAUCAGCCCUUUCAUUGCCGAGCUCUGCUCUGUCUGAUGGGUUAGUCCUUCAGCAAGUCUGGCUACGGUUAUGAAAUUUUGAAAUUAGAUAAAUUAAAAUUAUAUCUAACUGUUGAAAAAUG
rnacentral:lncRNA from 1 species